GGUGGUAGUGUAUAUAAUGGGGUUGCUGAGGUUGGCACCUAAUUUUGCUUUUCCUUCAGUGCUCUUUUCUGCAUGGCUUCCUUAGCAUAUGCACCGCGCCACUGUACUGCCACCAACCCAUUCACUUUCACUCUCUAAUUCUCUCGGAGGGGUUUUUCUUUUCGCUUGAGUUUCAGGCUUUCUUCUCCCAUCAAGAAUCAAGAUUUCUUUGAACUCGAUCUCUCCGCCUUCUGUUCGUCUAUUAACUAUUUUACUGCCCAUUUUCUCUUUCUUCUCUUAUUUUUUGUUUUUUGUCCUCAUGGAGCACUGGGAUCCUCAGAUGAUGCUGGACUUGUACAUUCACAAUUAUAUGAUCAGAAACAACAUGCACGAAACUGCCGAGAUUUUCGCCAGAGAGGCUAAUGUCUGUCCCAAGGUUGUUGCAUUAGAUCCUCCUGAAGGGUUUCUGUCAGAAUGGUGGUCGUUAUUUUGGAGUGUAUACUCUAGUCAUUGCACAAAUCAUGCUGAAGCAACAGAAGACUCUUCAUCAAAGGCAACUCAGAAUGCUGGAAGUGUGUCUCAGAAUGUUAAUUCUGUUAUGCUGGACCCAGAUGUUGAUUAUAUUUUACAGACUCUAUGCCCUACAGUGCAAAUGCCAGGACUUCCUAGUAUGCUACAAACUCUCAGUCCAAGGCCAGAUAUAGGAAAUUUGCAGCAAAGUGAUGCUUCGAGAAUGAUGCCAAGGCCAAUAUUAGAACUUCCUAUUUCAGACUUCAGUAUAACGCCAGGACAAACUUCAAGAAGUUUGAUAACUGCACCAAUAUUUGAGCAAGAACGUCUUAAGCUUCCUGUCAGGGACUUGAAUACUGACCCGCAGGUUCUAAAUGUCAAUGAAUUAGCGUGCAUGCUGCCAUCUUCAAGAAAUUCUAGCCACCUACUGGAGAAAGUAUAUAGGAAUCCUCAGCUUUCUGUUACUAGAAAUGACAGAGGUGGUGCUAGUUUGAGGAGAUCCACUGCCGCAGAACCAACUUAUCAUCCACCACGACCUAUUCAACCCAAAAUAGGACCUGCUGAUAGAGAUUCCCAAGGGUGUCUUCAGCUUCCUGUCAAGAACUUGAAUUAUAACUCGGAGCUUUCUGAUUUUGAUCAGUUACUUUGCUUACUGCCAUCUUCAAGCAAUUGCAGCUAUCCUAAGGAGAAUAUUUAUAAGAAGCAGCCUAUGCUUUCUGUCAAACGAGAUGACAAAUGUGGUGCUAGUUCAUGGAUCCCAACUUCUGCCAUUCCAACUCGUCAACCUACUGAUACAGAUGCAAGCAUGCGUGAGCAGGAGCUUCUUAGGCUUUAUGUCAGGAACUUGAAUUCCAAUUCCAAUUCACAGCUCCUUGACAUCCAUCAAUUAGCUCAUAUGCCACCAUCUUCAAGCAAUUGCAGCCAUCCCCAAAAGAGGCAUCAGCUUUCUGUUACUCGAGAUGGCGAAUGUGGUACUGAUUUGAGGAGAUUUAUUGGUGUUGAGCCAAUUUGUCAUGCACAAUACACUAUACAACCUAAAACAAGACCAGCUGAUGCAGAUGCAAGAAUGCCAGAGCAAGGGCGUCUUAAGCUACCUGUCAGGAAUCUGAAUUCCAAGUCACAGCUACUUGGUAUUGAUCAAUUGGCUCACCUGCUGUCAUCAUCAGGCAAUUGCAGCCAUCCUCAGAAGGAUGUUAAUAAGAGUCACCUUUCUCUUACCCGAGAUGACGGAUCUGGAACUAGUCUGAGGAUACCUACUGCUGCUGAGCCAACUCGUAAUGAACCAAAAGCUAUACAAUAUAAUAUGGGAACUGCAUGCUUUCAGGAACGUAGCUUGUUUCACUUGGUCCCGCGAACAUCCGGAGAGCUGAUAUUAUUACCUGCAUCUUGAAGUUCAUCCAAAAUGGCUAAAAGGGAAAAGAUGUUGAGGGUAAAGAUGUGAAGGUGGGAAUCUAUUCUGAGUAAAAAUUAAAACGUUAACUAAUGAAUAUAAAUGAUUCCGUCCCGAGUAAAAAUAGUUUCUCCUGAAGUUAUGACGGAUGUUGAAGAUGAUUUCCUAUCUCGACUUGGGAACCCUAUUGGCCACUGUGCAGGGGGCAUGCUAACAUUGUUGGUUUGACUUCAACAUCCUUGGAUAUCUGCAGAAAAAACAUAACCAUUGCUUUGGCAGAAGACUAGCACUCUAGUUGAAUUAUUACACCUAACUCCGCUGGGAACGAACCAUAAAGGCUCCACAGCUAGAGGUUGUUCGGAUGAACUUAAUAUGCUUUUUAAAAUAUUUUAUCAGAUGUUUGAAUGCUUAUAAGA